UACGUAGGGUGCGAGCGUUGUCCGGAAUUAUUGGGCGUAAAGGGCUCGUAGGCGGUUUGUCGCGUCGGGCGUGAAAACCUUGGGCUUAACUCAGGGCUUGCUUUCGAUACGGGCAGACUAGAGGUAUGCAGGGGAGAACGGAAUUCCUGGUGUAGCGGUGAAAUGCGCAGAUAUCAGGAAGAACACCAAUGGCGAAGGCAGCUCUCUGGGACGGUACUGACGCUGAGACGCGAAAGCGUGGGGAGCGAACAGG
rnacentral:rRNA from 1 species